rnacentral:rRNA from 1 species
CACGUAGGGACCGAGCGUUGUCCGGAUUUAUUGGGCGUAAAGAGCUCGUAGGCGGUCGCGUAAGUCGGGUGUGAAAUCUCCAGGCUCAACUUGGAGGGGCCACCCGAUACUGCACGACUCGAGUCCGGUAGGGGAGUGGGGAAUUCCUGGUGUAGCGGUGAAAUGCGCAGAUAUCAGGAGGAACACCGGUGGCGAAGGCGCCACUUUGGGCCGGUACUGACGCUGAGGAGCGAAAGCGUGGGGAGCGAACAGG